UACGGGAAGCUCAUGAGGCAUUAUCAGAAAGUAGUAGGCCUGAUAAAGAACUGAUUCUUGGUGGAACAACCCUUCUCACUCCUGAUGACAUGUUUGAGUUACUUUUGGGAGAAUCUAGUUUCAUAUGAGCCUACCUUGUGACACCUUCCACUGAGGAAGUUGAAAGAAACCAACCAGAGAUCAGAAGUAUCCAAGUUGUAGAGUGUUUUUCUUUUCAUUUUUCCUAACCUCCAUUAGAGGCAAAGCUGAGAAAGAGUGGCUACAAAUACUUCUUUCUCACUCCUGAUGACAUGUUUGAGUUACUCUUGGGAGAAUCCAGUUUCAUAUGAGGCUGCCUUGUGACACCUUCUACUCAGGAAGUUGAAGAAACCAACCGCAGAUCAGAAGUAUUCAAGUUGUAAAGUGUUUUCUUUUUCAUUCUUCCUAACCUUCAUUAUAGAGAAGGGUAUGACAGAAUAGCUAUGGAUACAUCUUUUUUCCUUAUUCAUUUUCAUUUGUUCUUUUGACUGAGCAAGGGGCAAAAAGUA
rnacentral:lncRNA from 1 species